GUGUACAGUCAUGCUACCCUGAACAAGCCUGAUCUCGUCUGAUCUCGGAAGCUAAGCAGGGUUGGGCCUAGUUAGUACUUAGAUGGGAGACCACCUAGGAAGACCAGGUGCCGUGGGCG
rnacentral:rRNA from 1 species